rnacentral:rRNA from 1 species
GACGAACGCUGGCGGCGUGCUUAACACAUGCAAGUCGAACGGAAAGGCCUGCUUUCCCUUGUGGAUUGCGGGUACUCGAGUGGCGAACGGGUGAGUAACACGUGAGUGAUCUGCCCCCAACUUGGGUAUAAGCCUGGGAAACUGGGUCUAAUUCCCGAUAGGACUGCAGGGUGGUGCCUGUGGUGGAAAACGAUUUUCUAGUGGUUGGGGAUGAGCUCGCGGCCUAUCAGCUUGUUGGUGGGGUAAUGGCCUACCAAGGCGGCGACGGGUAGCCGGCAUGAGAGGGUGGACGGUCACAUUGGGACUGAGAUACGGCCCAGACUCCUACGGGAGGCAGCAGUGGGGAAUAUUGCACAAUGGGCGGAAGCCUGAUGCAGCGACGCCGCGUGGGGGAUGACGGCCUUCGGGUUGUAAACUCCUUUCGACCGCGAGGAAGCCACCUGGUUGGAAGGGUGGUGACAGUAGUGGUAGAAGAAGCACCGGCUAACUACGUG